CUUUUUGCUUGAGAACAGAACCCCUGUCAAUAAAGGAAAUAUCUCUGUUUAUAUAUUUACAGAUCAAACACCAAAGUUGGUGGCAAACUAAGCAGCAAAUGAAUGCGUAAAUUCAUAUUCUUCCCAACAUCUAAAGAUGUUCUGAAUUUUCCAAAAAGAAUUUUUAAUGAUCAAAGACACCACUGUUGUCAAUAACCUGCAUCCCAAUAAACUUCAUUUCAAGUGAGUCUAACUUGAAAAUAAAGAUGCCACUUGAUAAUUUAAAAAAAAAUAUGGACAGAGUGACACAGCCAAUAAGAAAGAAUCAUGUACCUAACCAAACAUAUCAUCUUUGGCUUACAAUUCAGUACAAGUUUGCAAUUCUUUAUUUGUUCAAGUAGGUUUAGGACUAUAUGGGUAAUAUGCUUAUAAAGUCCAUCUCAAAUAGAAUAAAUGAAUCAGUGAGAAUUUUCAAGCACUUAUGCCUCUUGAAAGCUAACCAUAGGUCCAAAGGAAUUUUUAGUUGAGAAGCCUGAAACCUCUAUUGUUAUUUAGCUUGUCAAAUAAUAUAUUACAUCCAUAUCUAAAUUUUUUUUUCUUUGCAAAAGCACACCCUAUGUGCCAAUUCCUCCAAACCCAUCCAUUGAGGUCUAAGCAAGUGAAAGAAUCCUAAUACUUAAUAGGAUAAAUAAUUCUAAUAUUUAUACCUUAGUUCUCUAGGCAUUUUUUGUAGACUUUUCCUAUGAUCCACAAUUGAAUUGUUUUGAGUUAAUAAAAUUGAGACUUGUUUAUCUUUCCUCUUGAAAAUUUGUUUCUCUACCUUCGAGAAUUUGUUUCUCAUCCCCUUGUUCUCCUUUGUUCCCCUUUAUUCUAUUGGUUCUAUAUCACUAUUUUAUUCUAGUCAAUUCAAAAAAUGAUUCAGAUAAAUUAUGGGGCAAUAAAAGUGAUCGGGCACAAGAAAAUGCUGUCAAAUGGGGUUAUAUAUCAUACAAAUUUUCUGUAAUUUUUUAAUAAGACAACUUAAAAGAAACACAAGUUCAUGGAAGGAUGAAUUUGUUGAGGGGAAGUCAUACCAAAAUGAUUUGAUAUGGUAAUA
rnacentral:misc_RNA from 1 species